rnacentral:rRNA from 1 species
UACAGAGGGGGCAAGCGUUGUUCGGAAUUACUGGGCGUAAAGGGCGCGUAGGCGGCCUUCUAAGUCGAACGUGAAAUCCCCGGGCUCAACCCGGGAACUGCGUCCGAUACUGGAAGGCUUGAAUCCGGGAGAGGGAUGCGGAAUUCCAGGUGUAGCGGUGAAAUGCGUAGAUAUUCGGAGGAACACCAGUGGCGAAGGCGGACUCACUGGCUCGGUACUGACGCUGAGGUGCGAAAGCGUGGGGAGCAAACAGGGAUUAAGAAACCCUGAGU